rnacentral:rRNA from 1 species
AUUGAACGCUGGCGGCAGGCUUAACACAUGCAAGUCGAGCGGGGUGAUGGUGCUUGCACUAUCACUUAGCGGCGGACGGGUGAGUAAUGCUUAGGAAUCUGCCUAUUAGUGGGGGACAACAUCUCGAAAGGGAUGCUAAUACCGCAUACGUCCUACGGGAGAAAGCAGGGGAUCACUUGUGACCUUGCGCUAAUAGAUGAGCCUAAGUCGGAUUAGCUAGUUGGUGGGGUAAAGGCCUACCAAGGCGACGAUCUGUAGCGGGUCUGAGAGGAUGAGCCGCCACACUGGGACUGGGACACGGCCCAGACUCCUACGGAAGGCAGCAGUGGGGAAUAUUGGACAAUGGGGGGAACCCUGAUCCAGCCAUGCCGCGUGUGUGAAGAAGGCCUUAUGGUUGUAAAGCACUUUAAGCGAGGAGGAGGCUCUUUUGGUUAAUACCCAAGAUGAGUGGACGUUACUCGCAGAAUAAGCACCGGCUAACUCUGUGCCAGCAGCCGCCGUAA